GACGAACGCUGGCGGCGUGCUUAACACAUGCAAGUCGAACGGUGAAGCGCCUUCCUUUUUGGUGGGUGUGGAUGAGUGGCGAACGGGUGAGUAACACGUGAGUAACCUGCCCCCUUCUUCUGGAUAACCGCAUGAAAGUGUGGCUAAUACGGGAUAUUCUGGGUCUGUCGCAUGAUGGGUCUGGGAAAGAUAUUGUUUCGGUGGGGGAUGGGCUCGCGGCCUAUCAGCUUGUUGGUGGGGUGAUGGCCUACCAAGGCGGUGACGGGUAGCCGGCCUGAGAGGGUGGACGGUCACACUGGGACGGAGACACGGCCCAGACUCCUACGGGAGGCAGCAGUGGGGAAUAGUGCACAAUGGGCGCAAGCCUGAUGCAGCGACGCCGCGUGAGGGAUGGAGGCCUGCGGGUUGUGAACCUCUUUCGCCAGUGAAGCAGGCCUGCCUCGUUUGUGGGUGGGUUGACGGUAGCUGGAUAAGAAGCGCCGGCUAACUACGUG
rnacentral:rRNA from 1 species